UGCAGACGUGGAAAUGUUGGCAUGUGGAUAGACCCUGUACCAAAAACCCAGCAGAAGAUUCAGAGUCCCUGAGAUGCUUCCUCAUCUUCUUCGCCAAGCACCUCUUGUCACUGAUCUUGGAAGUUAGAGGUGGGAAAAGGCAGGUGUCCUGGGGAAGUGUCGCUACGUUUACUAUGGGAAAAACUCAGAGGGCAACAGGUUUAUCCGAGAUGACCAGCUCUGAAGCCAACUUCUGUAUACCUUCACCCAUUUCAUGAAAAUAAAAUCAAAAGGGAAAUCAAAAAUAAAGAA
rnacentral:sRNA from 1 species